ACAUUAACUUGGUACCUGCUCCUUCUUCUCCUCCUCCCCACUCCCCACCCCUCAACUGGCUCUGGAAAUUUCUGACCAAAAGCAAUUGCUAGGAUUCCAUUUCUGGAGAAAGCACACUUAUCACCCAGAUCUCCCCACGUGGGGGGUAUGAAGACUGGCGGCAGGGUUAUUCAUUAUUUCCUUCUCAACAAUAUCCCGAUUUUUCUCUCCGUCCCUCCCCCAAAGCUCAACAUAUUGAAACAUUUUGCUGCUUAAUAAGAGCAGCCGGGAGAGCUCUGGGGUGAAAGGCCAGCCUGGGACCGUGACUGGGGCUGCCUGGGCUCGGGGCUGACGGCCAGGCUGCCCCCGCCCAGCACAUUCCUGACCAUUGCUUAGGAAAACAAGACAGGCUUGGGGAGGGGAGGGGACUGAAGUACCAGAGCCAAUGCCCCCGUAGUUUUGUUCCUGGGAUUCGGUGGAGAGGUCAUCUUCCCUCCCAAAGGGAACAAACACUAUUCCAAACCACCACAAAUAAAACAGAAGGUGCUUCUCUGUCGGAGGGUACAUCCUACCCAGGUGUCAUGGUUUUUAAAGAGAGGUUCUUUUCGGGACAGCUGGAGAUUUGAAAUUGUUUUCUUUUCACCCCCCUGUCUCCUUUCUUUUCUUGAAAGGGACUUCUAGGAGACCACAGGAGGACCCGCUUCAGCUUCUUUAGAUUUCAGAGUUGUUAUCACAUUCUUAUUUGGAGACCUAUCUAUCCAAGGUUGGCCUCCUUUCCUUAGAUUGUAAGCUCCCCGGAAGGCAGUUGUGGGGUUUGUUUUGUUCGCCGCUGGUUACCCCGUGUCCACGCUGAAAUUGACAGGCGGCGAAGCGGGACAGUUAUCGAACUCUGCCUCUUCUUUCUGAACAAUAAGAAGGGGAUACGAAACAAACCAAACCAAACCCUCACACUGUAAUUAAGGGAAAACUGACCGGAACAUUUCACCUGAGUGAACUAAUUCAUUUUCUGCUUUGUAGGGUUGGGGGAAGUCGGUGCUCACAUGCCGACUUCCUUUUUUACAUAAGUGGUUUAACCGUGGAUCAAGAGAUCUUCUCAUUCUCCAAGCAUCGUGGGUGUGGUCCACUGCUGGAGCCCUUGACAGGCUGCAAAGCUAGACUGAGCUCCUGGAAAUUACAAGGAGAGAGAAGAAGUGGGAAAUCUGCUCAGGGAGAUAAGUCCAGGAAAUGGAGGCAGUGAGGAGAACAGCAUCCAUGAGAAGAGCUGUCAGACUGGGGCACUUCGGAUUCUGACGUGUGUGAGCAGGUCAGUCCUUUGAUUCCCAUCACAUACCAGCACACACACACACACACACACACACACACACCCAUUCACUCAUAUUCUCAGCAUAACAGAGGAUCUUAGGAUGGGUGCAAAAUAAGGAGCAUUCAGAACAAGGAUGGAGAAGUGUUGGAUCGAGAGAUCUGUGAUCCGAACAGGUGCAAAAGAAGGGGCCUCUCCUAAGCUAACAGAGUCAUCCCUCACCCCCGCCUACAGAUCAAACAUAUAGAAAGUUUCCAAGGACGGGGGCGCCUGGGUGGCUCAGUUGGUUAAGUGUCCGACUCUUGAUUUCAGCUCAGACCAUGAUCUCAGGGUCCUGGGAUCGAGCCCUGCACUUAGUGUGGAGUCUGCUUGGGAUUCUCUCUCUCCCUCUACCCUUAACCCUUAC
ensembl:lncRNA